rnacentral:rRNA from 1 species
GACGAGGGAUCCUAGCGUUGCUCGGAAUUAUUGGGCGUAAAGCGGGUGUAGGUGGCUUGGUAAGUCGGGUGUGAAAGCCCAGGGCUCAACCCUGGAAGUGCAUUCGAUACUGCUGAGCUUGAGUGCGAGAGAGGUUAUAGAAUACCUGGUGUAGUGGUGAAAUACGUAGAUAGUCAGGUGGAACACCGGAGGCGAAGGCGGUUAACUGGCUCGACACUGACACUGAGACCCGAAAGUGCGGGGAUCAA